UAACACAUGCAAGUCGAGCGGAGAUGAGGUGCUUGCACCUUAUCUUAGCGGCGGACGGGUGAGUAAUGCUUAGGAAUCUGCCUAUUAGUGGGGGACAACAUUCCGAAAGGAAUGCUAAUACCGCAUACGUCCUACGGGAGAAAGCAGGGGAUCUUCGGACCUUGCGCUAAUAGAUGAGCCUAAGUCGGAUUAGCUAGUUGGUGGGGUAAAGGCCUACCAAGGCGACGAUCUGUAGCGGGUCUGAGAGGAUGAUCCGCCACACUGGGACUGAGACACGGCCCAGACUCCUACGGGAGGCAGCAGUGGGGAAUAUUGGACAAUGGGGGGAACCCUGAUCCAGCCAUGCCGCGUGUGUGAAGAAGGCCUUAUGGUUGUAAAGCACUUUAAGCGAGGAGGAGGCUACUGAGACUAAUACUCUUGGAUAGUGGACGUUACUCGCAGAAUAAGCACCGGCUAACUCUGUGCCAGCAGCCGCGGUAAUACAGAGGGUGCGAGCGUUAAUCGGAUUUACUGGGCGUAAAGCGUGCGUAGGCGGCUUUUUAAGUCGGAUGUGAAAUCCCCGAGCUUAACUUGGGAAUUGCAUUCGAUACUGGGAAGCUAGAGUAUGGGAGAGGAUGGUAGAAUUCCAGGUGUAGCGGUGAAAUGCGUAGAGAUCUGGAGGAAUACCGAUGGCGAAGGCAGCCAUCUGGCCUAAUACUGACGCUGAGGUACGAAA
rnacentral:rRNA from 1 species